CUCGGUUAUUCAUGCCUGUAAUCCCAGUGGCUCAGCAGGCUGAGGCUGAAGGAUCACAAGUUUAAAACCAGCCUCACAAACUUAGGGAGGCCCUAAGCAACUUAGUAAGACUUUGUCUCAAAAUAAAAAAUAAAAAGGACUGGGGGAGGUGGCUCGGUGGUUAAGCACCCCUGGGUUUAAUCCCUGGCAUUGAAAAAAAAAAAAAAAAGAGGUCCCUUCUCCAAGAACACAUACAGUCCUUAAUGCAAAUGUGCCUAAUAACACAAUGUCAAAACAUAUGAGGCAAAAAUGGAUAGAACUUGAAGAAGAAACAGAUGAAAGUAUUAAUAUAGUUGUUAACUUCACAAUCAUAAUAAAUACACAAAAUAUAUAAAAUACAUUAGGACAUUCUCUGAAUUCAUUUAUCCAAUACCUCAAAUAUCAGCGCCUUUCUUACCUUCUAAGUGCAAAUGCAGAGUUAUCGUAAAACAACUUGCCAGGAGUAAUAACAGCUAUUAGCUAAAAUUUGCCAUGUCUUACAUUUCCAGCAUUGUUAAAUGAAUUCACAUAUUUAAGCCUCCUAACAACCCUUGGCUGUCUGCUUUUAGCAUGCCCACUCUGCAGAUGCAGACAACGAAAAUAGAGAGGACAUUAAAAAGAUCUUGUAAGAUAUGAAAUGUAUUCAGAAGCUUGUGGAGCCCCCUAAACCUGGUUGCUGUCCCAAGGGAUGAGCACUGAAUUUUAGCAUCUCUGACAGCAUCUCUGAGGAUUCCUGCUGUUGCACACAGGAGGAAAUUUUUUAUCAGACAUUAUUCUUCCAAGCUACUGAGCCCCAGAGGAAGAAACUUGGGGGAGCUGGCUAGAAAGAUGAGGGGGGAAGGCUACUGUCAUAUCUAUAUUUUAAGGAACUGCUAUAGCCU
rnacentral:lncRNA from 1 species